rnacentral:rRNA from 1 species
AUUGAACGCUGGCGGCAUGCUUUACACAUGCAAGUCGAACGGUAACAGACCGCAAGGUGCUGACGAGCGGCGAACGGGUGAGUAACGCAUCGGAACGUGCCCAGUCGUGGGGGAUAACGCAGCGAAAGCUGUGCUAAUACCGCAUACGAUCUAUGGAUGAAAGCGGGGGACCGUAAGGCCUCGCGCGAUUGGAGCGGCCGAUGUCAGAUUAGGUAGUUGGUGGGGUAAAAGCCCACCAAGCCAACGAUCUGUAGCUGGUCUGAGAGGACGACCAGCCACACUGGGACUGAGACACGGCCCAGACUCCUACGGGAGGCAGCAGUGGGGAAUUUUGGACAAUGGGCGCAAGCCUGAUCCAGCAAUGCCGCGUGCAGGAAGAAGGCCUUCGGGUUGUAAACUGCUUUUGUACGGAACGAAACGGUUUGGGUUAAUACCCUGGGCUAAUGACGGUACCGUAAGAAUGAGCACCGGCUAACUACGUGCCAGCCGCCGCCGUAAGAC